rnacentral:lncRNA from 1 species
CUUUAGGUCUCCAGUGUCUCCCAAACAAGAAUCAGGCUGCAAAGCUAUGUGGUGCUUCAACACCCAAAUGGCCUCCCUGGCCCAAGGGAAUGAUGGAAAAGGAAGACCCUCUCACAGGACAGAGAAUAGACACUUCUGACAGUAAGAUGAAUUACAGCCCUGUUGGGCAAUUGCUCCUCACACAACAGAAGCCAUUUGCUGCUGAGACAUGAGACUUGUUCUAGGCCAGAGGUCCAAAAAGGACAGUGUUGAGCAGCUUAAAUGAAGAGAGCAACAUGUUUUUUUUUCUCAAUACAAUUCUCUAUGGGUUUUACUAUCUUCCCACAUUUAGUAUUGUAGAAGAGAAGCCUAAUGCUAAUUUAUUAAUUUGUUUUCUUGGCAGUUAAUUGUGCUUUCUGUUCUCAUAUUAUAUACAUUUUUACAUCGGUUCUCCUUAUUUUGGAAAAAUCAGAAAUUUUACUAAGUUUUUAGGACUGGUUGUAGGAAUGAAAGAAUGAAUGAAGAUGCAAGCCAAACAGUCGAUGGGUCACAUGAUGAUCAACUCUGUGGUUGGAAGUCAGGAAUCUUCAAAGGAGUGGGAUGAUUCUGCAAGAACUCCCACAUUCUUAGUGAUUGCACAGUACAGUCUGAUCAACCCUCCUGAAGAGGACAGCUGCUUCAUCUCGAUAAACCCAUCGUCAUAAAUCACACGAUGGAAUAUUACACAGCAAUGACAAGGAAUGAACAACGGGCCAUAAAACCACAUGAGUAAAGUUCAAAAACAUUCUGUGGAGUUGAAAAGUACAUGGUGUAGGAGUCAAUUUAUGAAAUUCAAGAACAUGUAGAGCAUGGUAUGACAGAAGUCAGCAUAAUGAAUACUUCUGCUGUGAAGAUUGACUGGGGAAAAGGAUGGAAAGACUUUCUGAGUGACAGAAACAGUUUGUAUCUUUAUCUCAUUGAAAGUCAGACAGCUAAAAAUUGACCUGGAUGCACACUUCAGAUUUCCACAUUGCACUGUAUUUACAUAACACUUCAAUUUUUAAAGGCAAAGGAAAGAAGAUGGUGACCCCUGUGGUAGUAGUGGAUGUCUCUCAGUGGUCUGAAUUCUAGAGAUUUUCCUGGCAUUAGGAAAAAAAUGCAGGAUUUUUAACACAUACGGCCAAGAGAAGUUGAAAAACAUAGCUAAAAUGCGCUUAAAAACAAAACAAAACUAAACAUUAGCAUAGGUUUUGUACAUCCUAGUUCCUCUCCCUCUCCUUCUCUUUCUCUCUUUUGUUCAAAUGCUGGAAGUGAACAACAAUUGUUUUGAUAAUAAAAUAACUACACAGUGUCAACAAUGUUUCCUUCAUUGAGUUUUGAGGCUACAGCAAUGACAAGAAAAAAUGGACUUUCAUGUUAAGAAUCUCACCAUCUAAAAGGG